rnacentral:rRNA from 1 species
UCAGAUACAAACAAUCGUUACAACUUUCAACAAUGGAUCUCUUGGCUCUGGCAUCGAUGAAGAACGCAGCGAAAUGCGAUAAGUAGUGUGAAUUGCAGAAUUCAGUGAAUCAUCGAAUCUUUGAACGCACAUUGCGCCCCUUGGUAUUCCAUGGGGCAU